AUUAUCUUGGCAGAAAUAAAGAUGCGAUAAAUUUAGAAUUUAUUUAUGUAAAUUUUUUUACAGAUAAUA
rnacentral:tRNA from 1 species